UCCCUGGUGGCUGAGAGGCUAAAGCAUCUGCCUGGAAUGCAGGAGACCCGGGUUCGAUCCCUGAGUCAGGAA
rnacentral:tRNA from 1 species